rnacentral:rRNA from 1 species
UACGUAGGCGGAAGAUUAAGUCAGUGGUGAAAUCCUGCAGCUUAACUGUAGAACUGUCAUUGAUACUGGUUUUCUUGAAUUUAGUUGAGGUAGGCGGAAUGUGUAAUGUAGCGGUGAAAUGCUUAAAUAUUACACAGAACACCGAUUGCGAAGGCAGCUUACUAAACUAUGAUUGACGCUGAGGUACGAAAGCGUGGGGAGCGAACAGGAUUAGAUACCCUGGUAGUCC